CUAAAAUCUUAUGCAAAUUUGUCAAGAGUUUUAAAUACUAGUUUGCUUUGCAAAUUGUUCAAAAAAAUAUUGAUGUAUGUUUAACUAGUGAUAAUUUAAUAAGUGUGGGUAUGGAAGAAUUCAGUAAAGAUAUCACUAUGACAUCACGAUCACUCAGGACUACUAGAGUUAUUUAUUUUUGCUGUAUUUAUUUACAAUUAUUUAAAUCUCCGGCCAAUAUUCCGAACUUUACUUGAACUGACAAUUGACAACUAUCGGGGAUGAUGGGCCUUAUAUACUCGGCAGAACGCUGUUCCAGAAAAUUCCCGCUAACCUUCGAGACGUCGUGCGGUGUACCACCUGUGUCAUUCCGGAAUGACAGAGAAUCAGCUAGUUUCGCCAUGCUUACCAUAUCUUUACAUUAUUGUGUAAGAAAUAAGUACUUGUAUUUAUGAAAGAAAGUUCUUGCUCUACUUAUACAAUGGUUAAUUUAGCUGGAGUACAUUAUUCUUUAAAUGACAUUUUUGUGUAAAUCUCAACAAAAUAAACAUCUUUUUUGUUA